rnacentral:rRNA from 1 species
GACGAACGCUGGCGGCGUGCCUAAUACAUGCAAGUAGAACGCUGAAGGAGGAGCUUGCUUCUCUGGAUGAGUUGCGAACGGGUGAGUAACGCGUAGGUAACCUGCCUGGUAGCGGGGGAUAACUAUUGGAAACGAUAGCUAAUACCGCAUAAGAGUAGAUGUCGCAUGACAUUUGCUUAAAAGGUGCAAUUGCAUCACUACCAGAUGGACCUGCGUUGUAUUAGCUAGUUGGUGAGGUAACGGCUCACCAAGGCAACGAUACAUAGCCGACCCGAGAGGGUGAACGGCCCACCUGGGACUGAGACACGGCCCAGACUCCUACGGGAGGCAGCAGUAGGGAAAUUUCGGCCAUGGACGGCAGUCUGACCGAGCCACGCCGCGGGAGUGAAGAAGGUUUUCGGAUCGUAAAGCUCUGUUGUAAGAGAAGAACGAGUGUGAGAGUGGAAAGUUCACACUGUGACGGUAUCUUAACAGAAAGGGACGGCUAACUACGUG